AAGAAACAUUGGUGAUGCUUCUUACUGGAAUUGCUGAUGGAGUUAAGGCCUGAGCAUCUUCUCUAAGGCUGAAUUGCUGACUAGUUAAAGAUAGUAGGGCAGCAGAACCGCCCCAGAAACCUUCAGUCUCAGCAGAUUCACAUGCAUAAGAAAUUGCAAAGAGUACAAGAUUGGCAGCUGUUCACCCAGCAUUACACUCUGGAGAGUCCAGCACACCUAUUACAACCCUGAGUUUUGCCCUGCUGCACUUGCAGAAAAUUAAGGAUUUAUAGCAGUCAAUAAUAUAAAAUAAAUCUUUCCUAUUCUUUUCUGUUACUUCUCUAUAAAUCAUUUACCUUUUUCACCUGUUGUAUAUAUCUCACUUUUUAAUCUACUUUGCUCUUAAAAGUUCACAUUUUCCUUGGACUCUUUGGCACCUUAAGAUAGCAGAUUUGCAUAUGCAUUUGAUUAUUUGUCUCCCUCAGAAAUAAUAUCAUGAGAACUACGACCUUCAUAUAAACCUUGCUUUCUGCCUGUACAUCUCUUCCAGAAGUGCCUGCCAUUGCUCUGGCCUUGUAGCAGAGUGCCAGAUAUUUGCAGGGAUGCACCCUUUAUAACUCUAUGGUUUUGCAGCACUCAUCUAAUCCAUAUUUAACAGGAAUUUAAUGUGUCCUGUGGAGGUUGACAGGACUCAUCUCAUAUAUUGUCAUUACCAAGAGAUAACUGCUUCUCCUCCCUCAAGGUUACUUUAAUCGGACUUUAUUUGCCUUCAAGUCUGCUAUGAAAACAUUAGCACUUCCUUGUAGGUGCCAGAAUCAUUGCUUAGUUAAGCAGAGCCAGACAGUGGCUGUGGAGGUUUCCAAAAGCACUUCAGUCACAUAUUUGUGGACUAAGAGGUUCAGUAUAAGGAACAAUUUAAACCUACACAGGAAUUUGUGACAAAUUAGCAGGUCCUCGCUUACCAAAUAAGUGAGAUGCAGCAGAAAACAGGAGGGGAAGCAUUUAUGAACAGCUGUUAUUUUCUUCCCUAUGACCCGUUCCUUCACACAUUAAUUUUGUAAUGAACAAAUAUUGUUUCUAAUGAGGACUUGUGCGGGAACAUAAAUGCACAUUCAUAUUAGCUUUGCAAAAUGUAUUCUACAACUAAGAGCUUCUAUGGAUUCUCUACUUCUAAGAAAGAAUUUAGGCAGGGCAUCAAAAAAAACACCAAAAAAACCACAGUGAACAAUCACUUUUAAUGCAGUCUAGCAGCAGAUGGUCUGAAACAGCCUAUGGAAUUGCUAUCUUUUUUGAAGUCCAAAAGGAUGCUAACCAGAAGUGAGGAUAAUGAGGUUGAUAUAGGUUGGUUUGUUUAGUUAUAGGCUGGUUUAUUUAGCUACAGGCUGGUUUGUUUAGCUACAGGGAUCAGUAUAUUAGUUUAAGGACAAAUAUAUUAGUUUAGCAGAAGGAAUCAGUGAAUGCUAAUCCUAAAACUUCCCACCCCAACUUUACUUAGUGUGUGAACAGCCUUGUUUUCUCUUACUUCUGCUUCACUAGAAGAACGGGAGUUGUAAUAGAGUACUUCUCUUUGCAUUUCACGAGGUGCAAGGACAUUUUUCUCAGACUUUGCAUAUAUUGUUUUGAAAGUUGCUCAUUAUGGCUUAACAAGCAAUGGAAAUUUGCCAAACUGGGAAAAAACAGCCAAAGGUCAGCCAGAAGUCCCAGUGAUGAAGCUGAUAAUGGAAAAGUGGGGAUAAAGUAAGUGGACAUAUGACGAUCCUAAAUGCAACUGCACAGGCCCAGAUGGAUGUUAGCAUUUAUUAAUGAGUUCUUGGAACAGAAUGAAUAUGUAUGCAAAUGUACUACAUAUGUAUGUAUUAACUGUUUAAAUGUAGAACCUGAACUC
rnacentral:lncRNA from 7 species